rnacentral:rRNA from 1 species
CUAGGGAUUAGAUACCCUAUUAUUUAAACUUUAAAUAUAUUAAAUUUAAUAUUAAUAGUUAUGUUCUUUAAAUUAAAAGAAUUUGGCGGUAAUUUAAUCUUUCCAGAGGAAUCUGUCAAGUUAUCGAUAAUCCACGUUUAAUUUUACUUUAAUUAUUAAAUUUGUAUACCUCUGUUAUUGAAUGUUCUAUAAAGAUAUUUUCUAUAGAUUUUAUGAAUAAAAUAUCAGGUCAAGGUGCAGUUAUAUUAAAGUUUUGAUGGAUUACAUUUUUAUUAAAAUUGGAUUUUAAUAUGUAAUUAUGUUUAGUGAAAUUGGAUUUGGAAGUAAUUUUAUUUAUUUAAAUUUUUUGAUUUGUGUUCUAAAUUAUGUACAUAUC